UGUCACAUACAUUAUAUUGGAAUAGGGCGAGUAAUAAAUUAACAAUUUAAAAUAUUUAGAAAGAUUUGACAAAAUUAUAAUUAAAAAAAAUAGUACUUAUCUAAUUGUCCAAAUUUUCUGCUAUAGAAGAAGUGUCACGGAUAUCAACAUGGUUGCUACCCGCCAUAAAAUUCAUUCUAAGGAUAUUUUUGUCAUUUUAUCCAUAUAUUUAUGAAGAUAUAUUUCUUAGUUUUGAAUAAGCUAUAUACAGUUGUUAAUAUAUUGUUAUGUGUCAGAAUAAUUGCUAGCCCGCUUUUGUGUCUAAUCCAACAGAUAAUAUUUUUGGCUUUUAUUUUGCUUUUUGUUUUAUUUUCAUUUUUCACUUUCUCUUCCCUUGAUCCUUCAUUUCAUUCUUUGUGAUUUAAACUCUAUUCAUUUCAACAUUUCUUUUUAAUUUUGAAUUACUCAUUGAUCUUCUCAUUAUCUCCGAUUGUGCUGAGUAUAUCUCCAUUCUCCAUUUAUUUUGAUUUUGAUAAGUGUUUAUAUUUUUUCCUUUUUCAUGGAGUGUUUAUCUUAUUUGUACUCCUGUUGACUGGCAAUAAUGAUAUUUUGAGGUUGUUAUGCAUGUCUGCCGAUAGAUUAAUUUUGAGUUUAAUUUAUAUAGAUGAUAAAUUUAUUCCGUUUCAGUAUUUUAUGAUCCUCAUUCACAGGUAGUUCAAUCUAAUUGAAGCCUUUUCUGUUUUUUCCUUUUCAGGAUCCAGUAUUCUUGUGAGAUUAAUUUCUAGAGAAUCUGCUUCUGAAUUCAAGCUGAGAAGUCAAGAUCACUCACAAGUUGAUGAAAGAGAAAAAGACAAUGUAACUGAUUCACAUGUGUGUUAAUCCAGUCGAAGAAUCUGCUCCAGCUUUCAAGACGAUUACUUUUGACAAAUCUAGCUUCGUACUUGCCCCUGAUUCUCUAUUCGGUACAUGUAAAUUUAUACCAUAAACGAUGUGUAUGAUUCUUUACUUGAUGAGGAUUGAAUUAUACAUGAUUAAAAUUUGUUGUGAGACUUAUAAAGCUCAUAGACAUAAAAUUUAA